AUUGAACGCUGGCGGCAUGCUUUACACAUGCAAGUCGAACGGUAACAGGUUAAGCUGACGAGUGGCGAACGGGUGAGUAAUGCAUCGGAACGUGCCCGGUCGUGGGGGAUAACGCAGCGAAAGCUGCGCUAAUACCGCAUACGAUCUGAGGAUGAAAGCGGGGGACCGUAAGGCCUCGCGCGAUCGGAGCGGCCGAUGUCAGAUUAGGUAGUUGGUGGGGUAAAGGCUCACCAAGCCAACGAUCUGUAGCUGGUCUGAGAGGACGACCAGCCACACUGGGAUUGAGAAACGGCCCAGACUCCUACGGGAGGCAGCAGUGGGGAAUUUUGGACAAUGGGCGAAAGCCUGAUCCAGCAAUGCCGCGUGCAGGAAGAAGGCCUUCGGGUUGUAAACUGCUUUUGUACGGAGCGAAAAGGUCUCCUCUAAUACAGGGGGCUCAUGACGGUACCGUAAGAAUAAGCACCGGCUAACUACGUGCCAGCAGCCGCGGUAA
rnacentral:rRNA from 1 species